UACGUAGGGGGCUAGCGUUGUCCGGAAUCAUUGGGCGUAUAGAGCGUGUAGGCGGCCCGGUAAGUCCGCUGUGAAAGUCGGGGGCUCAACCCUCGAAUGCCGGUGGAUACUGUCGGGCUAGAGUGCGGAAGAGGCGAGUGGAAUUCCUGGUGUAGCGGUGAAAUGCGCAGAUAUCAGGAGGAACACCAAUUGCGAAGGCAGCUCGCUGGGACGUAACUGACGCUGAGACGCGAAAGCGUGGGGAGCAAACAGG
rnacentral:rRNA from 1 species